rnacentral:lncRNA from 1 species
GAGAUAAAAAUUUUUACGUAAAAAAUCAUAUGAAUAAAUGAAAUAUUAAUAUUUUAUAUGAUACAUCAGGAAUUAACCAAUCUAAUUAAACCCAUCCCAGUUCCUCUGUCCCUCGAUCCUCGUUUAUAUUCCAAAGCUCGAAAUGGAAAUUCAAGGAAACCAGUAGUUUUAGUUUGGAUUGGGACCAGAGUUUCACUAAAGAGGUUGCUUCCUUUACCCUCCUUGUCUUGUUACAUUCAUUCCGUAUAUAUUUUUCUUUUUCUUGUUUCCUUAGAAAGAACGUGUGAAAACCAAAUAUCAAUGUCUUGCGUUUGUCGUUGUCCUGCGAUGUCCUUGUCUUGAUUAAGACCUUUCGAUUCAUCCAUAAAGUACCAUUGCUAUAAUUUCUUUUCCCUCGCAAGAUAAGCAUCA